UACAGAGGGUGCGAGCGUUGUCCGGAAUCACUGGGCGUAAAGGGCGCGUAGGCGGCCAUUCAAGUCAGAGGUGAAAGCCCAAGGCUCAACCUUGGAACUGCCUUUGAUACUGUUUGGCUUGAGACCGGUAGAGGUAAGUGGAACUGCGAGUGUAGAGGUGAAAUUCGUAGAUAUUCGCAAGAACACCAGUGGCGAAGGCGGCUUACUGGACCGGUUCUGACGCUGAGGCGCGAAAGCGUGGGGAGCAAACAGG
rnacentral:rRNA from 1 species